rnacentral:rRNA from 1 species
AUGGCUCAGGAUGAACGCUAGCGAUAGGCCUAACACAUGCAAGUCGAGGGGCAGCACAUGAGUAGCAAUACGAUGGUGGCGACCGGCGCACGGUGAGUAACACGUAUGCAACCUACCUUUAACAGGGGAAUAACCCGUUGAAAAACGGACUAAUACUCCAUAACACAGGGGUCCCGCAUGGGAAUAUUUGUUAAAGAUUAAUCGGUUGAAGAUGGGCAUGCGUUCCAUUAGCUUGUUGGUGAGGUAACGGCUCACCAAGGCCACGAUGGAUAGGGGAACUGAGAGGUUUAUCCCCCACACUGGAACUGAGACACGGUCCAGACUCCUACGGGAGGCAGCAGUGAGGAAUAUUGGUCAAUGGAGGCAACUCUGAACCAGCCAAGUCGCGUGAAAGGAUGAAGGUCUUAUGGAUUGUAAACUUCUUUUGCAAGGGAAUAAAGUGGGGGACGUGUCCUCCUUUGCAUGUACCUUGCGAAUAAGGAUCGGCUAACUCCGUGCCAGCCGCUGC